rnacentral:rRNA from 1 species
AGUCGAACGGUGAAGAGAAGCUUGCUUCUUGGAUCAGUGGCGAACGGGUGAGUAACACGUGAGCAAUCUGCCCUUGACUCUGGGAUAAGCGUUGGAAACGACGUCUAAUACCGGAUACGACCCUCGGAGGCAUCUCCUGGGGGUGGAAAGAAUUUUGGUCAAGGAUGAGCUCGCGGCCUAUCAGCUAGUUGGUGAGGUAAUGGCUCACCAAGGCGACGACGGGUAGCCGGCCUGAGAGGGUGACCGGCCACACUGGGACUGAGACACGGCCCAGACUCCUACGGGAGGCAGCAGUGGGGAAUAUUGCACAAUGGGCGAAAGCCUGAUGCAGCAACGCCGCGUGAGGGACGAAGGCCUUCGGGUUGUAAACCUCUUUUAGUAGGGAAGAAGCGAAAGUGACGGUACCUGCAGAAAAAGCACCGGCUAACUACGUGCCAGCAGCCGCGGUAAUACGUAGGGUGCAAGCGUUGUCCGGAAUUAUUGGGCGUAAAGAGCUCGUAGGCGGUUUGUCGCGUCUGCUGUGAAAACCCGAGGCUCAACCUCGGGCCUGCAGUGGGUACGGGCAGACUAGAGUGCGGUAGGGGAGAUUGGAAUUCCUGGUGUAGCGGUGGAAUGCGCAGAUAUCAGGAGGAACACCAAUGGCGAAGGCAGAUCUCUGGGCCGUAACUGACGCUGAGGAGCGAAAGCAUGGGGAGCGAACAGGAUUAGAUACCCUGGUAGUCCCAUGCCGUAAACGUUGGGAACUAGAUGUGGGGACCAUUCCACGGUCUCCGUGUCGCAGCUAACGCAUUAAGUUCCCCGCCUGGGGAGUACGGCCGCAAGGCUAAAACUCAAAGGAAUUGACGGGGGCCCGCACAAGCGGCGGAGCAUGCGGAUUAAUUCGAUGCAACGCGAAGAACCUUACCAAGGCUUGACAUAUAGAGGAAACGGCUGGAAACAGUCGCCCCGCAAGGUCUCUAUACAGGUGGUGCAUGGUUGUCGUCAGCUCGUGUCGUGAGAUGUUGGGUUAAGUCCCGCAACGAGCGCAACCCUCGUCCUAUGUUGCCAGCACGUAAUGGUGGGAACUCAUGGGAUACUGCCGGGGUCAACUCGGAGGAAGGUGGGGAUGACGUCAAAUCAUCAUGCCCCUUAUGUCUUGGGCUUCACGCAUGCUACAAUGGCCGGUACAAAGGGCUGCAAUACCGUAAGGUGGAGCGAAUCCCAAAAAGCCGGUCUCAGUUCGGAUUGAGGUCUGCAACUCGACCUCAUGAAGUCGGAGUCGCUAGUAAUCGCAGAUCAGCAACGCUGCGGUGAAUACGUUCCCGGGCCUUGUACACACCGCCCGUCAAGUCAUGAAAGUCGGUAACACCCGAAGCCAGUGGCCUAACCGCAAGGAAGGAGCUGUCGAAGG